rfam:Mesocricetus auratus contig104048, whole genome shotgun sequence.
AGAUUCAGGGGGUCUUGAUCAGUCUUCCUCCCUCACCGCUCCAUGUGCGUCCCUCCCGAAGCUGUGCACUCGGUCGAAGAGGACGACCUUCCCCGAAUAGAGGAGGACCGGUCUUCGGUCAAGGGUAUAUGAGUAGUUGCACUCCCCUGCUAGAACUUCCAAACAAGCUCUCAAGGUCCAUUAGUAUAGUUUUUUAAAAUUAAUUUUUAUUGAAAUUGAAAACAAUCUUAUUUUAGAU